UACGAAGGGGGCUAGCGUUGUUCGGAAUUACUGGGCGUAAAGCGCGUGUAGGCGGUUCCUUAAGUCAGGGGGGAAAUGCCAAGGCUCAACCUUGGAACUGCCUUUGAUACUGGGGAUCUUGAGUCCGGGAGAGGUGAGUGGAACUGCGAGUGUAGAGGUGAAAUUCGUAGAUAUUCGCAAGAACACCAGUGGCGAAGGCGGCUCACUGGCCCGGUACUGACGCUGAGGUGCGAAAGCGUGGGGAGCAAACAGG
rnacentral:rRNA from 1 species